rnacentral:rRNA from 1 species
UACGGAGGGUGCAAGCGUUGCUCGGAAUCACUGGGCGUAAAGCGACCGCAGGCGGUCUGACAAGUCGGAUGUGAAAGCCCUGGGCUCAACUCAGGAAUUGCAUUCGAAACUGGCAGAUUCGAGUACGGGAGAGGGGGGUGGAAUUCCUGGUGUAGGGGUGAAAUUCGUUGAUAUCAGGAGGAACACCGGCGGCGAAGGCGGCCCCCUGGCCCGCAACUGACGCUCAUGGUCGAAAGCGUGGGGAGCAAACAGG